AGCUAUAUCGUUUAAAAUAGGACAUUAAAUUGCAAAUUUAAAGGUAAGUAAGUUUUUAUAGCUU
rnacentral:tRNA from 1 species